AUUCACUGCAACAUCUUUGAUCAACCUUCCUUCGUGUAUUUAGGCAACGUUAGCUAGAUUGUUUGUUAGCUAGAUUGUGUAUAGGUGUGAUAAGGAAGUUUGCAGUGGUCCAGUGGGUCAGUGGGGAGGAUGCUGGGAUGUACAGAGAAGUGAAAACUGAUGCCAUACGUAAAUAUGAUGACACCAAGAUGGAUGACCCACAAACUAACUAUACAGCUGCUGUGGAAUGGCAGAAAGGGAAAAAGCUGGCCAGUGUACACUGCCUCUGUUUUCUAAGUUUGUAAGCAGAGCAAUGCUGCAAAAGUGGCCUCAUGUGGCACCCUCCAGCAUUGGUGCAACCAUCAAUGCCAAACUUACUGAGAUUAGUGUGAAGAAGAAAACACAAGAACAUCCAGAAACCUUAAUGCUCUUUGAUGAUUGAUUUCAUUGACAAUGAUGACAUUGUGUUCAAGGUUGAAGCAUUUGCAUGAUGGCUGCACCAGUGAAACUGCAGAUUGUCUUUGGUGCCAACAAUGCUGAAAAGCUGACCAUAGAAUCGGGCAUGCCAAAGUCUGUGAACGUAAUAAAUAAACAUAAAUUAUGUGUUUUGCUGUCUACAUUUUAUUAAAACAAGAGCUGCUCUCAGUCAAGAGUAAAAAUCAUUU